AUUUAAAUAGUUUAAAUAAAAUAUUGAUUUGUGGAGUCAAAGUUAAAAUUAUUUUUUAAAUU
rnacentral:tRNA from 1 species